GAAGGGGGCAGUAACGGACGUAUAUAUCUGCGUCGCCUUCGGUCGUCUUUCUUGCACCCCUCCCCAGCUUCUCUUUCUCCUAUUUUUACUCGUGUGCAAGAACAUGCUAUCUCAGCAUCAAGCCUCUGCGCCGUAUCGUUUUCCUGCGGAAACAGGGAGGGGGGGAUCUCCAUGGAAAAGGUAAUCGCUUACUGGAAACCUCUCAUUAUUGGACCCCAGAUCUGGCCCCAUCAAGAGAUGCUCACCCAAAAGAAGAUUAAAGCGAGAAGGAAAAGGCGAAAGGAGUUGUUUUGGGGGCAGAUGAGCUUCAUAGGCUUGUCCCUCCUGUGUCUGUCGGCUCUGUCUUCUCUGGCUGGACAUUCAGGAUUCUCCGUGUCCAGUGCCGUCACUGCAGACAGCCAUGGCAGCUGGGGCAGUCGCCGGCUACUGCAGACGCCAAGGAGGAACGACACGGUGCACCAGAUGGAGAAGAACUGCACGGAACCAG